UUAGCCUAGUUUCGAGAACUAAUUAUCUAUUUCGUACACUUUUAGUCCUUUUUCCUGUAAAUGAGCUAACAAAUGUGAUUAGGAAAGUUUCAGGUAUAAAUGAUGCAAAAUACAGCAAUUUAUGGCUUACUUGACGCAAAAGAAAGCUCACAAACGAGAUGGAAAGGAGCUGGACGCAUAAAGGACUAAAUCUGCUGCAUGGAAAAUCUGUCCCGGGCUAAAACAGCAUUUCUGAAGACUUUGGGACUUAAAGACACAAAGCUGGAUUUUUGCCAUAAUACAUUAACCUAGUGCAAUUAGGUUAUGUGUUUCAUCAUUCUAUUUGGAUUAUAAUUUUGUAACCUUACCCUAGUACAAUUGGGUCAAGGAUUUCAUUAGUAUAUUAGGAUUUGGUUAUUUAUUUUAUUAGUUGAGUAGGAGUAGGAUAGGAGUAUUAUAAAUACCCUAUCAUGUUAGAGAUUUUAAAAAGGGAGGGGGGAGACAUUCUGACAAUUCAUUCAUCUCCUUACAAUUAAGACAUCUUCCUACAACCCAUUCUCAAGUCUUCAUUCUUCUACUCUUAAAUUCCACAACAAGAGAAUCGUUACUUGCUACGGAACCACUAAAACCACACGCCAAACACCUACUAUUCACGCCAUCCACCAUGCAAAACGUGAUAUCCUUCGCAUUCAUGGGUAACUAAAUCUCUUAGUUGGGGUUAUGGAAGCCGAAUGAGUUACUAUCUAUAGCUAUGAGUUUGUGAGUUCAAGACAAGUAUAUUGCUUAUAUCAUUAUUCUCUUCAUCUUAAAUCUACAUUCUUUGCGGUUCAAACACAAGAACACGCCAUUCUAACAUCUAACCUGUUCGAGAGAAAGGUUAUUUGUCUAGAAAAGAAGACGCAUAGACCAACGCCAGUCUAACAUCUGACUUGUUCGAGAGAAAAGUUAUUUGUCUGGAAAAGAGAUAAUGUCAAGGUAGUAGGACACCCUUUCCUAUU
rnacentral:lncRNA from 1 species